ACAGGAGUAAAAAACAAAAUGGGUGAAUACAAGGGCAGACUCAAGGAAUUUUAUAGGGGUGGACUAAUAUCUUUUAAUGGAAGAUUUACCUUUUUUUUCUUUUUUGAAAACGUGUUUACAUGGUUUUUUUGAUAAGGGCUUUAUAUGGUUAAUUGGCUAUGGGCUAUAGGUUUUUAUUAUUAUUUUAUUAUUUAUUAUUUUUAAUUUUUAAUUUUAUGCAAAGAAAAUGAGUGGUAGCAGCUAUUCUUCAAUUAACAAUUUUUAAAUUUUAUGGGAGUGCACAUAGACGUAAGAAGUGCAGUCAUAUAAAUCUACAAUUGCACAAUCACAAGCUACAA
rnacentral:lncRNA from 1 species